UACGGGGGGGGCAAGCGUUGUUCGGAAUUACUGGGCGUAAAGGGCUCGUAGGCGGCCAACUAAGUCAGACGUGAAAGCCCCGAGCUUAACUUGGGAAUUGCGCUUGUGACUGGCGUGCUGGAGUGUGGCAGAGGGAGGUGGAAUUCCACGUGUAGCAGUGAAAUGCGUAGAGAUGUGGAGGAACACCGAUGGCGAAGGCAGCCUCCUGGGCCAGCACUGACGCUCAUGCACGAAAGCGUGGGGAGCAAACAGG
rnacentral:rRNA from 1 species